rnacentral:lncRNA from 1 species
UUGAACAUGCGGCUAGGGUUUCAGUGUUUUGGGGUUUGGGUUAGUUGUUUGGGCUUAGGUUAGUUUUGGGCCUGUAAUGUCGUUGGGCUUGUAACUGGACUGUCUUUUGUUUUGCUUGGACCCGGGCUGUUUGGGCUUUAUUACACACAUCGGAGUCAUCUUCUAACCCACAAUCAUCUGCAGCAUACGACGUCCCCUCACCGGUUGACGUUGUAGGUAGUACAUCAUCCCUUCUUCUGGGCAUUUGAUAACGUCCCCAAUUGGAUGUAGAUUGCCAUCCACUAGAACUUGAUGCUGUUCCCCAGUACGUAUUUCCAGCAUCAAACGUCGAGUCACUGACGUACAUGUCCCAUCCACC